rnacentral:snoRNA from 1 species
GUCAUUGAUAAUGACCACUGGUAGCACAUGAGUCACAUGAGUGACUACAUUUCUGGAACUCUGAGAUCUAC